GUGGAUUGAGUGAUCGCUUGCUUUGCAAGAGGAAAGUCCGAACUCCUAAGGGAUAAGAUACUGGAUAACGUCCAGGUGUCGUGAGGCAAUGGAAAGUGCCACAGAAAAUAACCGCCAUUAAUAAACAUAUGAUAUUAAUGGUAAGGGUGAAAAGGUAGUGUAAGAGACUACCGCUUUUUUUGGUGACAAAAAAUGGCAAGGUAAACCCUAUCUGGAGAAAGACCAAGUAAAGAAGCUGUUCUCCCUUACAAAUGCUUCUGGGUGGGUCGCUAAAGCUAAUAAGUAAUUAUUAGCGUAGAUAAAUGAUCACAUAAAACAGAAUUCGGCUUACUAAUCCACUCU
rnacentral:RNase_P_RNA from 1 species